rnacentral:rRNA from 1 species
GGGGAAUUUUGGACAAUGGGGGCAACCCUGAUCCAGCAAUGCCGCGUGUGUGAAGAAGGCCUUCGGGUUGUAAAGCACUUUUGUCCGGAAAGAAAUCGCACUUACUAAUAUUAGGUGUGGAUGACGGUACCGGAAGAAUAAGGACCGGCUAACUACGUGCCAGCAGCCGCGGUAAUACGUAGGGUCCAAGCGUUAAUCGGAAUUACUGGGCGUAAAGCGUGCGCAGGCGGUUGUGCAAGACCGAUGUGAAAUCCCCGGGCUUAACCUGGGAAUUGCAUUGGUGACUGCACGGCUAGAGUGUGUCAGAGGGGGGUAGAAUUCCACGUGUAGCAGUGAAAUGCGUAGAGAUCUGGAGGAAUACCGAUGGCGAAGGCAGCCAUCUGGCCUAAUACUGACGCUGAGGUACGAAAGCAUGGGGAGCAAACA